AUGGUACCUUAUGUUCUGAGCUGGAUAGCCAGUGAUCUUGGAUAUAGCCAGUAAUCUUGGAUACGUCUUGAGAGGACAGCACAGUUUAUUUACCAAUAAAUGUUCAACGAAUGAAAAGUGAACACGGUUAUACGACUGGAUUUCAAUAUUGUCUUUUAUUGUCGGGCCAGUACAG